rnacentral:lncRNA from 1 species
GAAACAGUGCUGCUGGUUGCUGGCUGGAUAGAUUUUGCCAAUGAGAUCCAUUGCCCAUCCCCUGAAAGGCCAUGGUUUUACUACUGGAUUCAUGGGAACCGAAGGAGCCUGCUGGAUUAGGCCGUGCCUUUGACAGGCCUCAUAUCCUUUGGAAUAGUUGAUGCAAUCCUUCAUCAUGGUUGGCCAGAAGUAGCCAUACCUUCUGAUUAACCGGC